AAAUAACCAUGUUUCCCAAAGAAAAAUGAUAUCAUUAGGUUGCAUAUGUGUCAUGUGUGGAGAAGAACCCUCUAGCUAGUCCGUCACCUAUCCUUUCACCUUAAUUCAUGCUUUUGUCAAUUCUGUGAUUUAUUUAAGUUUAAUUUACUUCUCGUCAAAACCAAACCCCCCCCCAUUAUUAAAUUAUAUUAUUUAGUUAGUGUUCAUUGUUGUUAGUCUUUUAAUUCAAUUUCCGUCCAUUUUAGUUCCUAGUGUCUAAUUUGAUUGUUUUCAUUAUUUUGAGUCAUUCUAAGUGUGUUUCGAGUUAUUAGAGUUUUUAGCCUAGUUUUGUGUCCUUGAGUCUUGUUUAAUAUUUUUAAAUUAACUUAGAAUAGAUUAGCAAUCCCUCCUAAUCCCCGGCCUAGAACGAUACCCUACUUACAUCUAUACUACAAUUGUCAAAAAGAGGGUUUAAUUUGUGUGUCAAGUAAUUCUCACAUCAGUAUGCACUCAAAACAAAACAUUACCCAUGAAAUUCAAAGCCUAGUAGUUAGGUGAACCAAGACUCAACUCAAAACAAAGUGAGUUGAGAAAAUUAUACCUUUGUUGAUUCCUCUUUGCAUAAGCAAAGGAUAAUCACCCAAGAGAUAGGGCCUUCAUUCCUUGCUUCUUAGCUCCAUGGAUUUGGAUGGAAGAAUUGGUUUCUCCAAGUUCUCAAAGUUGAGAACUUCUAAGUCUCUUGAGAACUUCUAAGUCUCCACACCAAGGAAGGAUUGAUGAAGAAAUGAGUGACCUAGAGGAAGUAAGAUUG
rnacentral:lncRNA from 1 species